CGGGGUUGAGCCCAGAUUGAUGGGAGAUCAUGGAUGAUCAGGACCACCUGUUUGAACACACACACACACACACACAAAACAGAACACACACACAAACCUAUACACAGAACAGGGGACGUAACAAGCUCUUUGAGCUGAACCACAGGACCUUGAUCCAGUGGAGUUUAACGUGAAGCUGCUUUGACGGAUUCUGGUCUGCACUCUGAUUUAUCGCUGGAUUGAAGAGCCUGACGACAUUCUGUGUUUGUCUCCCAGGUUCUCUCGAAAGCAGAGCGGGGUGGUCUCGGCUGUGCUGCAGCAGGGAGCUGCUGUCACUGCUGUCCCUGCCGAGCCUCUCGUUCCCGUCAAAGGGCUGUCCUUUGUUCAAGUGGGACAAGGACAGCCCUUCUAUUAUAAUGUGCCGGAUGAGAAGCCAGGGCCCUCGUCCAGCGGCCUUCCUCCACUGCUCCUUUGUGUCUUCCCUGGUCCUGCAGAUCCGCCUCCUCAACACCCAGAGUGUGCAGGACCACUGUCUGGAGGAAGAGGGGGGCGGCCGAGGCGGCGGCGGCUGCUGCUGCUGAACCUUCCGUGUGCCUCUUCGCUCGGUUGUCAUCCUCGCCUCUCCGUGGAUCCUCCACCCAUCUGCACCCUGCCGCUCCAGCCUGCAGUCAAUAAACUGUUGCCUUUUUUCACUACCUACCACAAACGCUAACACCCCCACAUCCUUGUAUGCAAUCAGACAGCGUUGCUUUUAUACAAUGUUUGCACUUUCUUCUUAAUUGCUGUAACAUGUUCACACAUUUUAAAAUAAAAAUGUUGGCAAUCAAUGUUUUUCAGUUUUGUACUACUUUUUAAUAUAUAUAUAUUUAAGUUUUGACUUAACACCAUAAAAGAGUGGACAUUAAAAUUCAGUUGUAUUUUACCCCACAUGGGAUUAAUAUUAACUCCCACAAGUGUUCAGGUUUAACUUCAGAAAACAGUUAAAUCAACUCUCGGAAAACUAACUUUUCCCUGGAGUACAUUCGAUGGUCUCACAUGUACACUCAAAUGUAGUUGAUUCAAACUCAGCAUUCCAGUGACCUCAUUAAGGGCAUUGGGAAUCGCCGUGUUAAGUUUGGCGAUCCAAAUCUCCGCUCGCCACCUUUGGGCUCCUGACCAGCCCAUUCUGGAAUCCAGGCCUGAAAUCCUAGUACAAUGAAAUGUUUCUAUACAAUAUCGAUGCUGUUUUUGUCUGGUUUUUAAUGUAGUCCUUUUAUGUCCUAUCUAUAUCAGAGCACAUUGUGUGCAUUGGAUUCCACACAGUAGUUUUGUGGAUUCCAGGUGGAAACGUUGGUGGACUGGGGCCCUGAGGUUCGUAAGUCUAUUGGUCAAGAAUUUAAUGGACCUAAAAUAUGGGCUCUUUUGAGAUGUCUUUCCACUCUAAAGUGCUGCAUGGACCAGGAGGUCUUGAAGGUUAGUAUUUCUUCCAUAAGCUGUAAUCAGAGGUCGUGUAGUUUUUGAAAAAUUUCAGUGUACUGUAGUCUUGCGUUGUAGCAACAUGGGAGAAAACGUGGAGACAAAAGGGACUAACUGAGCAUAAGGCUCCUGCGCCCCAUCAGGCAAGCGGGCGACACACGGAUCCCCACGCACCUCAUUCAGACCCGCCAUUAAGGGUCUGAAUGAAUUGUACAAAAUCUGUUUUCGAACGCAUCCAGAUUCCAAGAUAUCUCAGAUAAAGGCGAGGUGUUUUCUCACAUUGGGGCAGGAUAGUCUGCUCCCAAUCUGCCAUAUAAAUAUUGGCAUAUGAGGGGGCAAAUCUAAUUGAUACAAAUUAUGAUAUAUUGUUGUUUUCAGAAGUGAUGUUACGAGAUGUGCCGACACUUCGAAGCGUGUGUCGAGUAAUGGAGUGUGAGGUGUGCAGACAAGUGUGUGGAUCCAAUUCCACGACUCGGAGACACAAGAAGGUGCAGUUAACCAACUUUACUGUCGGAUGGCAGUACAAACACGGGUAUAAUGACCCAACAGGAGGCUGGCAGGUGCAGAGUUUGUAAAAAUUCUGGUCCAAGGUCGGUACACGGGCAGGCAGUCGAUCACUAGGCAAGGUAUCCGGCAGGGAAAAGGCAGAGACGUAACUCGUUAACCAGGCAGGGGUCGGUAACAGGAAGGCUAUCAG
ensembl:lncRNA